AUUUCACAGAACUUUCACCACGACAAAUUCUUGCAUACAAACGACAACAAGUUCACAGAUUUUUCAUCACGACAAAUUCAAGCAUAGAUAAGACACCAAGUGCAUUCAUAAGACACCAAAUUCAAGACAACCUAAGAAGUUUUUACUACGACACCAAGUUCAUGCAUACAAACGCCACCUAGUUCAUGCACUUCCAAACAAGAAGCUCAGUUCCUCCUUCCUCUCUUCACAAUGGUUGCAAGUGUAGGCUCCUCCUCUUCGCUAGCCUCCUCCUCCUCUUUGUUGUAUGCCUCCUCCUCCGCCUCAAUGUUGGUCUUAUAUCUUUGCAUUCCUCUUGGGAUAAGCUGAUGAGGAUACUCUGGACUAUGGAAUUGUGUGUUCCAUGUCUUCUUUCUACCUUUCUUGCAUGGUGUCUUAGCUAUGGUUUUGCCUUUCCUAGAGCGAGCAUUGCCUUGUGUCGGUUGUGUAACCUGUGAUGGUUGUGGAGCAUCA
rnacentral:lncRNA from 1 species